CAUGCAAGUCGAGGGGCAGCAUGAUUUGUAGCAAUACAGAUUGAUGGCGACCGGCGCACGGGUGAGUAACGCGUAUGCAACUUACCUAUCAGAGGGGGAUAGCCCGGCGAAAGUCGGAUUAAUACCCCAUAAAACAGGGGUCCCGCAUGGGAAUAUUUGUUAAAGAUUCAUCGCUGAUAGAUAGGCAUGCGUUCCAUUAGGCAGUUGGCGGGGUAACGGCCCACCAAACCGACGAUGGAUAGGGGUUCUGAGAGGAAGGUCCCCCACAUUGGUACUGAGACACGGACCAAACUCCUACGGGAGGCAGCAGUGAGGAAUAUUGGUCAAUGGCCGAGAGGCUGAACCAGCCAAGUCGCGUGAAGGAAGAAGGAUCUAUGGUUUGUAAACUUCUUUUAUAGGGGAAUAAAGUGGAGGACGUGUCCUUUUUUGUAUGUACCCUAUGAAUAAGCAUCGGCUAACUCCGUGCCAGCAGCCGCGGUAAUACGGAGGAUGCGAGCGUUAUCCGGAUUUAUUGGGUUUAAAGGGUGCGUAGGUGGUGAUUUAAGUCAGCGGUGAAAGUUUGUGGCUCAACCAUAAAAUUGCCGUUGAAACUGGGUUACUUGAGUGUGUUUGAGGUAGGCGGAAUGUGUGGUGUAGCGGUGAAAUGCAUAGAUAUCACGCAGAACUCCGAUUGCGAAGGCAGCUUACUAAACCAUAACUGACACUGAAGCACGAAAGCGUGGGGAUCAAACAGGAUUAGAUACCCUGGUAGUCCACGCAGUAAACGAUGAUUACUAGGAGUUUGCGAUACAAUGUAAGCUCUACAGCGAAAGCGUUAAGUAAUCCACCUGGGGAGUACGCCGGCAACGGUGAAACUCAAAGGAAUUGACGGGG
rnacentral:rRNA from 1 species